rnacentral:rRNA from 1 species
UACGGGGGGGGCAAGCGUUGUUCGGAAUUACUGGGCGUAAAGGGCUCGUAGGUGGCCAACUAAGUCAGACGUGAAAUCCCUCAGCUUAACUGGGGAACUGCGUCUGAUACUGGAUGGCUUGAGUUUGGGAGAGGGAUGCGGAAUUCCAGGUGUAGUGGUGAAAUGCGUAGAUAUGCGGAGGAACACCGAUGGCGAAGGCAGCCUCCUGGGAUAACACUGACGCUCAUGCACGAAAGCGUGGGGAGCAAACAGG